AUUGAACGCUGGCGGCAGGCUUAACACAUGCAAGUCGAGCGGAGAGAGGUAGCUUGCUACUGAUCUUAGCGGCGGACGGGUGAGUAAUGCUUAGGAAUCUGCCUAUUAGUGGGGGACAACAUUUCGAAAGGAAUGCUAAUACCGCAUACGUCCUACGGGAGAAAGCAGGGGAUCUUCGGACCUUGCGCUAAUAGAUGAGCCUAGGUCGGAUGAGCUAGUUGGUGGGGUAAAGGCCUACCAAGGCGACGAUCUGUAGCGGGUCUGAGAGGAUGGGCCGCCACACUGGGACUGAGACACGGCCCAGACUCCUACGGGAGGCAGAAGUGGGGAAUAUUGGACAAUGGGCGCAAGCCUGAUCCAGCCAUGCCGCGUGUGUGAAGAAGGCCUUAUGGUUGUAAAGCACUUUAAGCGAGGAGGAGGCUACUUUAGUUAAUACCUAGAGAUAGUGGACGUUACUCGCAGAAUAAGCACCGGCUAACUCUGUGCCAGCAGCCGCCGUAAAAC
rnacentral:rRNA from 1 species